UGGGGAAUUUUGGACAAUGGGCGAAAGCCUGAUCCAGCCAUGCCGCGUGAGUGAAGAAGGCCUUCGGGUUGUAAAGCUCUUUUAGUCGGAAAGAAAGAGUUGCAAUAAAUAAUUGUGAUUUAUGACGGUACCGACAGAAAAAGCACCGGCUAACUACGUGCCAGCAGCCGCGGUAAUACGUAGGGUGCGAGCGUUAAUCGGAAUUACUGGGCGUAAAGGGUGCGCAGGCGGUCUUGCAAGUCAGAUGUGAAAGCCCCGGGCUUAACCUGGGAAUUGCGUUUGAAACUACAAGGCUAGAGUGCAGCAGAGGGGAGUGGAAUUCCAUGUGUAGCAGUGAAAUGCGUAGAGAUGUGGAAGAACACCGAUGGCGAAGGCAGCUCCCUGGGUUGACACUGACGCUCAUGCACGAAAGCGUGGGGAGCAAACA
rnacentral:rRNA from 1 species